rnacentral:misc_RNA from 1 species
GAUGAAGAACGUAGUGAAAUGCGAUACUUGGUGUGAAUUGCAGAAUCCCGUGAACCAUCGAGUCUUUGAACGCAAGUUGCGCCCGAAGCCAUUAGGCCGAGGGCACGCCUGCCUGGGCGUCACACGUCGUUGCCCCCCCAUCUACUCCUUCGGGAUUGUGGGGGGCGGAUGAUGGCCUCCCGUGCGCCUCGUCGCGCGGUUGGCAUAAAUGCCAAGUCCUCGGCGACGCACGCCCCGACAAUCGGUGGUUGCGAAACCUCGGUUGCCCGUCGUGUGCGGUCGUCGCGCAUCGAGGGCUCGAAAAAAUUGCCGGGCUUCGGCUCGACUUUCAACGCGACCCCAGGUCAGGCGGGGUUACCCGCUGAAUUUAAGCAUAUCAAUAAGCGGAGGA